UUUUUUUUUUUUUUUUUUUUUUUUGUGGUUGGCAGUGACAGAUUUUGCUGACUAGCUUUUAAAAAUACAAUACAAAGACUUCGUAAAUGUGAUUCAGGGCGCCCAGCACCCCUGUGUCUGCAGAGUGCCUUCAAACUCAGCUGUUCCAGCCGGUGCCAACCUGUGAAUUCCCACCAUGUCCCAGAAUCUGCUGUUCUGCUUUCCCCAAAACUACUUUAAGCAUCUUCCUGAAAGAGCCAGGAUGAAUAGGACCUGUUAUUCCGUGAAUUGCUUCAUUAAUUUUAGCUUUUUUUUUCAAUGUUAAGUCCAUAAGUCUUGAAUUUUUUCCCCCUUCAUUUUGUUCUAAUUUCAGGUUUUAGCUCUCCUUUUCUGUUGUUUUCGAAAUGUCUGUUAUCUGUUACAGGGUGUUCCUCCAGAGGCAAAGAGCAAAAUUUUAUUGUGAUGUACCAAAAGAAUUUUAACAAGUUGUAACUUUUAAUUCCACUCAUUUAGUCACUGUCUCUUCAUUUUAAGACUUUUAAUACAACUGUCAUUUUUAAAGAAACCCCAAACUAUUUGUGGUUUUGUGUUUCAUAUUCAGUGAUUUACAGUCUCCGUGAAUAUGGUGCCAGGCGGGGAGGUGGAUCGGGCCAGGUCCAUGAUGCCUUUUGAGUUAUGUGUCAAAAUUUGAAGAUAGGAUUAUUUCUAUGAAAAAUUGGGUAACAAUGUUUCCAAGUCUUUAAAAGUGGAGAAAAGUAUCAAGGCCUAAGACUCACAGGGUAUGGCCAGGGCAUCUGACUGUCCAGAUGAGGAAGCACUGCUCUGCUGAAGAAGAGUAAUGAACUUUACUGUUGAUAGCAAAGGGGCAAGUCCCCCCCUCCCCGACUCCCCCCCCACCCCCAGCUAGUAACACCCUCUUAGGCCUGGGAAAGCAAAGUGGACCUGGCAGAAUAACUAACAGGGGCACUUUCUAUUUGUCUUGGUUUGAUGUUGUCUGUUUAUGUCCCACACCGAGUCAGAAGUGAUCUUAACUUUGAUCUCACACACCCUGCCCUCUACAACGUAUGGAUGGAAUACAAUUAUUCUAGCCGUUAUUUCAACCCUUCCAAAGUUUUUAUUUGGAACCAAAUCAAAGAUUGAGAACAAAAAGUAAACAAGACGAAGAGGAUUCCCUUGCUCUCCUUCUAUUUGCCCACAACAGUUUUUAAAAGUAGGAGGCAAUGUGUGUUGGUGUUUUAUUUGUAUUUUGCUUGGGCUCUCCAGUACAAUAAUCUUUACAGAAUAACAAAGUAUCUAUAAGAUAUAAUACCACAGGUUCCUGAGGCAAAGCUGAUGUCUGAAGAGUCUUAACUAAGGAAUUUACUCCCUUGGCAAAGCCAAAAGAGAUCACAGGUUUCUUUAAAGCUAUAACAAUAUAUAUUGCCUUAAUUUUUUUUUUUCUCCAUCCAAGUUGCAUCUCAUCAUUUCGUGGGCAGGAAGAACAUUUUGCCUGUCCUGGCCUUUGUUUAUUCUCCAACUCGGAUCUCACAUCUCCAUUAGUGUCAGAUGUGAUUCUGCUUCCAAGUAUACAAAUUGAAAAAUAAUGUUUUUACAAGAAUUCAUUCUUAACAUUUGAACGAGUGUAUUUGCUUAGGUCGAUGAAAGUGUUGCACAUUUAAAGUGUUGACGCAUUUUGAAGAUGUGUCAAGCACUGUUGGAGGGGUUGCUUUUUAAAAAAAUGCUUAUGGUGGCCCUCUUCUCAUGAUUUGGAAGGCUUUGAACAAAAGUGUUGCCAAGUAUAUAGCUCAGAAAAUACUUGAAGGUGGACAGUGAUCUAGAUUGUUGGUGCAUUAAUCACCUCUCCAGAGGCUUCCCAGAGGUCAUGGAAGGCAGGGCAGGCUUUUGAAAACAUGUUUCUACUGAGUACUGUAAAAUAAAUGCUUUUGGAUUGUACAAUUAAAGCUGCUGC
rnacentral:lncRNA from 1 species